rnacentral:lncRNA from 1 species
CUGGCGAGCGCCUCCUCGCGGCGGAAGGAGAUCCUGGGGUUCGCUGUGCGAGACAUGUCGGCGGGGUUUCACGUGAGUGACACUUGGUCCCCACGGGAUUGACAGCGACUAGCGGAGUGGCAUGUGGACGUAGCUUCAGGUGACCUCACUGACCCCGCCCCUGACUCCACCCCUUGUGAUGACCCCACCACUGACCCACAGGCCUUGGAGGGGCUGAUCCUGGAGAAGUCAAAGGACCAGGAGGACGCCAUGGGGGGUGCUGUACAGGCUGAGCAGGAAGCAGAGCAGCACAGCGUCAUCAUGAGGGUAGCCAUCUUCACCUGGGGCAUCCACGGAGGAGGAGCUGAUCCACGACUACUUGGACAACAGCACACCAGCGAAGGAUGGUGAGGCCCUGCCCCCUGCCUGCACAUGACACUGCCCACGCCCUGUCUGAGACUCUACCAAGUGGUUCUGGGAUAAUAGAUUGAGGGGAUGGGGGCUGCAUACAUUUGCAUGAUUUUGCAUAUUUUGGGCUCAUUUGAAUAAAUUUGUAUAAGUUAACACCAGUUCUCUCAGGACAAAUUUGCAUAGAUUUGUGUGUGACGUCUUGGGCAAAUUAGCAUAAACCAAAAUGAUGUCAUAGUUGUGCUCUGCAUGCGUUUUUUGUGGGUUUUGCAUGAAUUUGCAUACAUCAGCUUCUUUGAAGUAGGUUUGCAUGAGCUGAGGUGACUUUGGUGGCUUCCUCUGUGAAUUUGCAUAAAUUUGCAUAAACCUGAAUGAUAACACAGUGAUGCUCUGGGUGGAUUUGCAUGGCGUCAUGCUUUCUGUCUGUAUGACUUUGCAUAAAUUUGCAUAAAUCUUCAUGGGCAAGGGGGAAGCUUCCAUGGCUGUCAGCUGCACCAGCGAAGUGACGUCACAUGACCUCAUUUGCAUGACCAGAGUCACUUUGCAUAAAUUAACAUAAACUAGUGAUCGAUCCCCCUUGAGUGCUGUGACCUCGACGUGACCCCUGACCUACCGCUGACCCCGGUGUGACCCCACAACCCCAAGGUGAUCCCUGACCUCCCCAUGACCCCAGCAACCUCGAAGUCACCAUGUAAUCCCACCAUGACCCUGACCCAACAGGGACAAGGCCUGGGGCCUCCGCCAUCCAUGCGUGGGGAGUGAUGCUGGUAGAGGGCAAAUUGGUGACGUCAUCAAUGCAGCGGGCUUCCCACUCAACCACUUUAGCCGCAAGCUUGCAAGGGCAGCUGCCAGAGACAGGAAGUGACAUCGCUGUGGAGAGGGCAGCAGGAAGUGAGGUCAGAGUGGGGGUGAUGGGAAGUAAUGUCAUGGGCUCAGGAAGUGAUGUGCUGCUGCUCUACAUGUGUACGUAUAUGCCUGGUCUGUGAUGCUGCAGAAUAU